AGGAGAAAUGAGAAAUAGAAGCGGAAUAGGAGGAGUCAAGGUGUAAUAUUUAGGUCAGAAGUGACUGUUCAGAGAUGAUGACGAUCUUAUUCAUGAAGGGCAUGACAUUGGUUAUGGGCCAGACCUUUAUACAUGUGUGCAUGAGUGACAAGGUGCACAGCAAGCGAGGCAUCUUCAUUCUUAGAUCUCAUUGAGCGUGGCAUUGUCACCAACUUUUUGUAAAGAGUGACACCACAUUGACUGCAGACCAGCAUCCAGUCCUGCUGACAAGAGGCAUCCCCAAACCACAUGAUCCAGACCUUCAUGGUUGGUAUAAGUGACUUAACUGCAAUGAGACUCCCACACACCGUGUUUAGAAAGUAUAUUCCUGUAUUUUUCAUACCUUCAUGGUUAACUGCAAUGAGACUCCCACACACCACCAGGUAAUAAAAAGUCCUGUACCUCUUUUAACUAUUUAUUGACAUCAUUACACCUACUUUCAAAGGGGUAAUUUUGGCUGUACAGUCCAUUAUAGUGAGAAUACACCAUACUACAUCAUGGAAUGAGAUAGGCAGCUCUUUAUACUUCCAAUAUAAUAAAAGUACAUCCCUCUUCCCUAGUCUUCACCCCUCCCAUUUAUUAAAUUAAAUUAAUGCUACAUGACAUUUGCUCCUGGAAAUUCACACUAAAAGAACCAUCAGCGUUUUAUUGUAUUGUGUAAAUAGUUGCUCGUUUCAUUUACAUUUGUAGAAACCAAGUUACACGAGACCCUGCCACAUUUUUUAUCUUAAUAUUACAAUGGUAUACUUGAAUUUAAAACACUUAGGACACAAUAGAUUGGCUGAAAGUUCACUCUUAGAUUUCUGACACUGUGUACUCUUCCCUCCUGUAAGGUUUCCCACAGCCAAGAGGUGUGGUAAGCCAAAACAGAACUUUACCAGACCAUUAGUCCCAAAGAUUGUCCAUUAAGAUACAUGGUUUUGAAGGCUUUGUGACAAUUACAAUUACUUUAUAGUUAUCAAUAAAACCCUCUGCAACUCCAAAACCAGUCACACCAACGAGCCUCAAGACAGCCAAGGGGGACAUCCUCCAACAUUGACCACCUCUCUGCCCAUAUGAAAACCUCUCCUCUGCCCAUAUGAAAACCUCUCCUAAUGAGAUUUCAAUUAUAUUUGUCCAGCACUUCAUACCACAUCUCAACAAUACUGACAAGUGCAAAUCAGUGAUGGCAAAGCAAAUGCUAGUUUUUGGAGUAAUGACAACCACCUGCUGUUGUUGUUUGUGCCUCCUCUCUUCCCUGGGCAGUCAAACCAUUGCUGUCACAGCUUUUUACUAAAUUACACAAUGUUUAUGACAAACAAGUUAAAAGAAAAUUACAAACUUGCCAGUAAAGCCCACAACUAGAAGAAGCACCAACAGAAAACACAAGUCUGGUACUUAAUACCUUUGUUGCCCUUGACAGAUUUUGGUUCACUUUACCAGCAAGGAGCACCGGUGGGUCUUGGCUAUCCUCCAGCUGGGCAGAGGGAUGCUGCCCUUACACCACCACCACUCCUGUUAAAGACCUCAUCUAUGGACCCCCCAAAAGUUGACUGAGCCUGGAGGCCUAAGCUAAGCCGAGCUUCACACAUCAAAUACACCUUUGUCCUUCUCUUGCCUCAGGCGCCUCUUCCUCACUGAAAAAAGCACAAGUAAAGAAAAUCAUUCAAGAAGGAAGGAAAGAAACCUUACAGCUACAGCAUGAACCUGGAAGCAAGAAGAAAAGUACUGAAAAUAAGAAUGAGUGAACUUUAACAUGUUAAUGUUAAAGUCCAGAGCAGAGCAAACUUAAAAUAUAGUAAAAAUAUAUGGAACUGAACAUAUUGAGAUAGUGCAAGCAGGAAACCAACCAAAGAGAGCCAAGACCCACCACACCUUUGGGAUGAACGACCCACAUGCACCCGCAGCCAAGAUGAAAAUGGCCGAUAUGGUUUUGGGCAAGUAUCCCUCGUGGCAACUGUGGUGUAAAGCGGCAGUGGCCAGCCAUGCCAAGAGAGUGACCUUAGUGUUGAAUGACCCAGCCAGCAGUUUUGGGGGCAUGGAGACAAGGAGCGAGCUGAGAACUAGAUAAGCAAUACUAGGGAGAGGACAAGUGAUGAGAAAGGAAGGUGUGUGAGGCUGGUAGGCUUUCACAAAGGGAGAGAGGAGAAUCAAUGCAAGA